rnacentral:tRNA from 1 species
GCCCGGCUGGCUCAGUCAGAAGAGCACGUGGCUCCUGAUCUUGGGAUUGUGAGUUCAAGCCCCACGUUGGGUG